AUUGAACGCUGGCGGCAGGCUUAACACAUGCAAGUCGAGCGAGCGGCGGACGGGUGAGUAAUGUAUGGGAAUCUGCCUGAUGGAGGGGGAUAACUACUGGAAACGGUAGCUAAUACCGCAUACUAUCAGAUGAACCCAUAUGGGAUUAGCUAGUAGGUGGGGUAAUGGCUCACCUAGGCGACGAUCUCUAGCUGGUCUGAGAGGAUGACCAGCCACACUGGGACUGAGACACGGCCCAGACUCCUACGGGAGGCAGCAGUGGGGAAUAUUGCACAAUGGGCGCAAGCCUGAUGCAGCCAUGCCGCGUGUGUGAAGAAGGCCUUAGGGUUGUAAAGUACUUUCAGCGGGGAGGCGUUACCCGCAGAAGAAGCACCGGCUAACUCCGUGCCAGCAGCCGCGGUAAUUC
rnacentral:rRNA from 1 species